GGUCGAUUAGCUCAGCUGGUUAGAGCGUGGUGCUAAUAGUUUCCAUACUUGUUAACGCCAAGGUCGUGGGUUCGAUCCCCACAUUGACCU